UAGCUAUAGAGAAGCUAGCUAAACCUUCCUUGAUUUUAUUUCGAUUCUCGAUACCAAAAACCAAACUGAUUGGAAAGUGGGUACCCUGUGCUACAAAGUUCYUCACCCUACCCCUAGUAGGAAAUUUUAGGCAGUAAAAGAGCAAUUCGUUCUGCAAGGGACAUCUCUGUACAUCUCAAGGAAAGCUAGACUUAAUUUGUUCGCUAUGGCUUCAGCAAGGCCAGAAGAGCGCCACUUCAAAGUCUAUCUGUCACUUACACGAGCGGAUGACWCUUCUCCAGUAUUUUUCAAAAUAGACGGGGAAAGAUUCAAAGAAAGUCGAACUGUGAAGCUUUUGGUCGAUACUUCCUAUAAAGUAGUUGUUGAAUUCCGUCCUGCGAUGACUUUAAGUGAUGCCUCAAUUUCUGGAAGCUCAAUCAAACCAGAGAUGAAGAAAAAUGAUGACAAAUGCUCUGUAUAUGAAUGCACCUUCUCAACUCAUGGCAUGUCUUGUUCAAAGAGUAAAGACCGCUCCUAUAUGUUACUAUGCCUCAAGUUUGCAGACAUGCAUGAGCUGAAUGCACAAAUCCAAACAAAGAUGUAUGCUCACAAGGACAAAAACCAUGUGACUUGGGGUUCCUGUCUCAAAUCGUUGGAGCUGGAGUGCAAGGUUAAAGAUGGUCAGUCGUUUGUUGAUAUACAGAAAAUGAAUUUCAGAUAGACUAAUGUGAGGGAAAGCUAAUAGCACCAUCUUUUAGAUUGAUAUUGUGCUGUUGUUAUAGAUUGCCAAACAUACUUAGUUCCAACUGAUAAUUGCAGCCAAUUCUUAAAAAAAAUUAUAAUUUAAAUCCCAUWRACGUUCCAUAUUGCUGGCUGAUUAGGAUGGCCAUUCAGGCAGAAAAAAAAACACAUCCUUAAUAAUCCAGGUAUUUGUAGUCUCCUUUGCAGCAGGAAGGCUGUAAGUUUUUGGACAUGGGCCAUAAGAAAUGUCCUCAAAACAUGAAUAUCUCCUGCCUUAAAUCAGCCAGUCAGCACAAUUACCAUAAUAUAUAACAUUUUUGGCUAUUUUUCUGUUUUCUUAAGAACACAUCAGAGUAUUAGGUCUUGAUAGGAGACAGUUACUGGUGUGGAUAYAGGUUAUCCAGCCCUGCAUCUUAUUACAUUUCCCAAAGAGCAUAAUAUAAGAUUUAAUAUGAACCAAUUACCUUCAUAUAAUUCUUUAUCACAUUUUCUAAGUAAUCUUUAGCUAGAUUAUAUUAUGGAUUAUGGACAUUAUGACAUUAUGGAUAUAGAUAUUUUAUUUUUAAUUAUUAUUUCCAAGUUAUUAUCAGAGAGUACAGAGAUUAUGAUAUCAAUUAGUGAUGUGUUCAAUUAUAUAUUACAUUACAAUAGAUAUUAAACAUUAAUGUCAUUCAAAAAGACAGUUAGUCCUGCAAGAAGUGAUUUCCUCCUAUCUUGAUAAGGCCCCAUAAACAACCUUGGCAAGAUUGCCUGGAGUGAAUUACUGCUUGCAGUGUAAAAGACAGUACAAUGAAGCCACAAACAUUGUGAAGAUAUGUAGAUAAUGACCGAAACAAAUCACUGUUCUUUUAUUUUAUUUUAUGCUUUUUCCUAAUAAAUAAUCACUUCAAAAUUACAAUUUUUAACAUUUUUUAGAUAUUUGUCAAAAAAGCCUCUAUUAUAUAAUUAUUAAUGAACAUGUAACAUAAUUUAUAAUAUUAAAUGAAUUAAAUAAAAGUCCAAAGUUUAACUAGACCGUCCACAGGUGAGAGACUUUUGAACUCAUGUGUGUCUCUACAAACAAAAAGCUAUAUUUCUAUAAAGAUAAUCUGAGAUUGUAAAGGMGCUUUAUGAAGCUUUAUAAAUGUCCAAGCCAGUGUUUAUUUUGAAUUGUAUUAAAAAUGUAUUGCAAGUAGAUAGAAA